CUCACAGAUUUCAAAACCAUAGCUACUGAUCUCCAAAAUUUGUGACUUUUUUGGGUUGUAUCUUUUGUGAAUUUGUCUGAACUAACACGGGUUUGAUUUCUUGGAUUGAAUUAGUGUCAGAGUUUGUUUCUUUUUAUUAUUUGUCUGAUGAACAUGUUCCUGCAUUCGAUUUUGCUAUUUUGACUGUGGGCUUGAAACAUUGAAUUCCUUGCAAAAUAGUGGAGGUAAACAAAUAGUAUGUCCUAAAUGGGCUGGAAUUGAUAUGUUUACUGAGCAGAUCAAGUUGAAAAAAAACAGGUUAGAACAACCCAAAUAUACUUUUUUAUUGGAUUAUUGAAUCGAUUAAAAUUUAAUUAGUUUAAUCUAUGGACUCGGUUUUAUAAUGGAUCAGCUAGUUAUUACUAGUUGAGGUUGGAAUCAUGUCCAAGUUCUAGACACGGAAUAUACUGUGAUGAUUUUUCUUUAUCUUUCUAGUUGUUUUUCUAUCUUUCUUUAUCAAUUCAUGGACACGUAUGCAGUAGUAAUCUGCACCUGCCUGAAAUGCAUGCUGUUAAGUGUCAAAUAUAUCUGCUGAAGAAUGAUGUUUUUGAAUGCUUUUUUGUUAUGUUCUUCGCGUCUCGUUAUCAUGUUUCAAUUUGUAUGGUUCUUGUGUUUCCCUUUAAAAGAAGGGUUUCGGUUAUAAUGUAGUGUUCGUUUGGCUGUUUGCGUGAUUUUUUUUAUUUUUUUUAUGGAACUGUCACAUGUUUAUAUGCACAUGAGAUUGGCUUGUUUAUGUGUUCUUCAUUUGCAGUUUAGGGUUGCAUGUACACACGAUUCAAAUGUCUGGUUGCCUAUAAACUGAAUUGAGAAACUGGGUGCUGCCUGUGGCAGUGAUGCCAGCAUAAUUGUUCCUCUGAUACGUCCCAGAAUUCAAAUUUCACAAGUGAUGAAGAUGUAUAAGGUGAAUUCUUACAUGCAAUUUGGCUGCUCACUUGAGAUUGUCGUGGAUAAAUCACAAGAGGGAUCAUAAUUUUGAAUAAGAUAUGGUUGCAUUGGGGGAAUUCAUAUAUGUCAGUGAAGGAUGCCCAAUGCAACAAUAUCUUCAUCAAAAUUUAAGAAGAGUCUGAGGAAGUGCCAGGGAACUUUGCAUUAGAGGACAGCGAUCUCUGCACUUGAUGUUGGCUGUGGAACUUGAUGUUUCAAUAAGGAAUUUGGCGUUUCAUUGUAUUGAAGACAUGGGAAUUUCUAAGAAGCCUUACAUCACAGGAAAUUUCCAUCUAGAGUAACAAAAGAAGGAAAAUAUUAUAGCCUCCCUGGUCUAAUCUGAAAAGGGAAUGAUGAAAUCGGUAGUUUAGACAAUCAGAGGAAUGCAGCAAGGCAGAUUGCAGAUCAGUUAGGAGUAAAGCUAAAGUUUUCAGGGACAAGAGGAUGUAGUUGCCGCCAUAUUGAUAUGUUAAGGUUCUAUCAUGAGAGGUCAAUCAUAUCAUAAGCUGGUGAUCUUUAAUGACUAUGAAGAUGGAGGGAGGGAGGAAUUUAGAGUUGUUUUCCAUACACAAUGAUACUUGUUUUAAUUAAGAGUUGAAUCAGCAGAUCUGAGGAUGCUUACAUGGACUUUAGCUUUACAAAAAUGUCUUGGAAUUCGCUUGAAGCAGAUGAUACUAAUUCAGCAGUUCUUGCUAAAGUGCAGCAGCUAAUUAAUCGCUUGUUCUACUUUGUAUAAACCUCUACGUUUUCAGAGCUACAGCUUUCAGUGUCUUCAAGUGGAAUUUGGAUGGUCAUGCUGUCAGUCAUACAAAGUAGUAGAACUCAUGAUUCUUGUUUACAUAAAGUUCUCAAUUUGAUAAUAUAUAAGGUUGUGUUUGAUUAGUGUCUUUAGUAAAAAAGAAGAGGUGAAACAUUUACGAAAGAGACAAAAACGUAUUUGACUGUACUUUAAAUACAAGGAGGCAUGUCUCUUCUAUCUUCACUGUAUCCAUUUUUUCUGUCAUUCUUGUUUAUAUCACAAGGGAUUCUUGUUUAUUGAAACAACAGUGGAAAAUUUUCGAUGGGUUCUCCA